GUGGUCACCGCCACUGCAAAACACAUUUAUAAAGGGAUUAUCUGGAUGAUCUGUGAUAAUAUGCUCAACAGUUUUUCCACAUGCUGCUGCCAUGGCCACAAGGGCACCAGAGGGAGCGCAAAAAAAAAAAAAAAAAAAAAGCAAGAAAGCAGAGCAAGGGAGUGAGCCAGAUGGACACAAAUAGAAACGCUCGAAGCGAAAUACAGAAAGUGGUGGCACAAGUGACAGACUGAAAGAUGGCGGAGAGUUGGAGUGAGGCACGGAGGGAAACAAAGAACAUAUUGUCAGUACUGGGCGCUAAUCGUCUCCUCUUAGGCUGCCAGAGACAACAGGCGCCGCGGCUCCAAUCCACAGUGACGUUUGGCUCAAGUUCACCAAUCAAACGGCAGAAGAAAGUCACAUGUCUGCGCACAAAAGUCUACUAUUGGGCUCUGCGGGCCAAUCAAAGUUAACCUUGACCUCCGCUGGCCCUACUUUCUCCGUUGUGGUGAAAACAGAAACAUUUCCCUCAACUGAACGUCCCUCCUGCAUGCCUGGCUCUCACUUUCCCCGCAGUCAGUGACCUCUCGGUCUCGACCCAACGAUGUUUUCCGACCUCCGACGCCUUCACAGACCUGCCAUCGUGCAUUUGGCCUCCAACAGUGCUCGUCUGUCAGCGCCGGACGAAGAAUCAUCCAUCCAUUUUCCGUACCGCUUAUCCUCACGAGGGUCGCGGGCGUGCUGGAGCCGAUUGGACUAUCUAUUCCUGGUAACCCUCUUGCACGAAGGCA